CCCACACAUGCAGACGUCUGCGGAAUCAUCCUCCCUUUUAAGCACAGCAUCAAAUAAGUGUCUGGAAAAGAAAGACCAAGAUCUGAUGUAGGGUUUGCCCUUCUCUGGGUCCUGCUGGACUGUUUCCCAAGUGAGAACACAGAGGGAUGCUUCACCAUUCUCAGGGAGACAAGGAAAAGGAUGUAGAGCUUGGAGAAUAGCCUUCCGUUGACUUCUCCCAUCAGAAGGCUGCUACAUCACAAUUUCUCUCGUUUUCUGGAGCUCUUCAGAGAACAGCAGUCUUGAUCCCUGCCCUCAGGAAAGACUGAACUUCUUUGCCUCUCUGUGGGCUUGUGGCAAAGCCUUCGGCCCUCCUCCAAUACAUCAGUUCUACCUGGUGAAAACUCCCUCUCUCCUGCCACAGCCGGCCAAUUGCAUCUCUCUCCAAGACAGGGGCAUAAGCGACCUUCUCCCCCAACAUGGUUCCUGUCUUCUAGUCCUGGCUGUCAUAUCUGCGGCUCCUCAGCAGCUGAGAGACUUUUGGUUUGGAGCAAUUGAGAUGGUCUGCUUGCACCUAGUAAAGAAGACCUUGAGCUCCUUUGCUUGUAAUGCUUUUAAGUAUAGUAAGUACAUU
rnacentral:lncRNA from 1 species